rnacentral:rRNA from 1 species
UCAAAAACAUGUCCUAUUGAGUAUAAUUUUAGGUUUUACCUGCCCCCUGAAUUUUAAAUGGCCGCGGUAUUUUGACCGUGCUAAGGUAGCAUAAUCAUUAGUUUCUUAAUUAGAAGCUGGUAUGAAGGGUUUGAUGAAAAAAAUGCUGUCUCUAUUUAAAUUAUAAUAUAAAAUUUUAUUUUUUAGUAAAAAAGCUGAGAUUUAUUUGAAAGACGAGAAGACCCUAUAGAGUUUAAUAAUUAUUAAUUAUAUUAUUUAUUAGAAUUUUAUAUUAUUAAAAUUUUAUAUUAUUUGAUUGGGGUGAUUGAAAAAAUUAAUUAACUUUUUUUUGUUUUUUACAUAUUUAUAUGAAAAUUUGAUCCAUUAUUUAUGAUUAUAAGAUAAAAUUACCUUAGGGAUAACAGCGUAAUAUUUUCAGAGAGUUCUUAUCGAAGAAAAAGAUUGCGACCUCGAUGUUGGAUUAAAAUUAACUUUUGGUGUAGAAGCUAAAUAAGUUAGGUCUGUUCGACCUUUAAAAUUUUACAUGAUCUGA